rnacentral:rRNA from 1 species
UAGCAGUUAAAAAGCUCGUAGUUGAAUUUCGGGAUCGACGGGUCGGUCGCGCCUCCGGUGUGAACGGGCCCUGUCGGUUUCUCCCUUCUGACGAAACCACGAUGUCAUUAAUUAGAUGUCGUGGGGAAUCAGGACUGUUACUUUGAAAAAAUUAGAGUGUUUAAAGCAGGCAUUCGCUUGAAUACAUUAGCAUGGAAUAAUGAAAUAGGACGUUCGAUCCUAUUUUGUUGGUUUCUAGGAUUGACGUAAUGAUUAAUAGGGAUAGUUGGGGGCAUUAGUAUUCAAUUGUCAGAGGUGAAAUUCUUGGAUUUAUUGAAGACUAACUACUGCGAAAGCAUUUGCCAAGGAUGUUUUCAUUAAUCAAGAACGAAAGUUAGGGGAUCGAAGACGAUCAGAUACCGUCGUAGUCUUAACCAUAAACUAUGCCGACUAGGGAUCGGAUGAUGUUAAUUUUUUAAUGA